GGCAUGUAACAAUUUUAACAAAGUCUUCAUAUGUGCUUUGAAAUUUCUUGACAAUUUUCGGUAUAAAUACGGUUUUCUUUUCUUUUCUUUUUCUUUUUUCAGUACUGGGGAUUGAGCCCAGGGGCACUUUACCACUGAGCUACAUCCCCAGCCCUUUUUAAUUUUAAUUUUAUUUUUAUAUGGUUAUUUAUUUGCUUAUAUUCUGUCUUCUCCCAUUAAAAUGCAUGUGACAUUAAAGCAGAUAUUUUCUGUUCACUGUUAAAACUCUAGCACCUAGAACAUGCCCCAUAGGUAAUGGUACUUCAUUAAAUUAACAAAUAGUUACAAGUCUGUAAAGGUAACACAACAUUAAUUUUUUAUUUUGAAACUGGGUGUUGCUAAAUUGUUGAGAUUCUCACUAAUUUGCUAAGGCUGACCUUGAAUUUGUGGUCCUCCUACUUCUAAAUAUGGUUUUCAUAAAAGGAAUCAAUACUAACCCAGUUGAUCUUAAAAACUUGACAUUUGGGGUUAUAGAGCUAAUUUGAGAUUGACCUUCUUUGUAUUUAUUCAUUGAUGGAUUGGGGAAGAUCAAAACCCACAGAUUUCCCUGAUUUCUUUGCUUUUCGUAAUUAAUUUUAACUCUACAGAAAGAGUCUGGACUAUGAAUCCAAAAUCCUACAACUAGUGUCCUUUGUCAUUGUGGCCAGUUGUGUGAUCUUAGACAAGUAACUGUACCUUUCUGAACCUCAGUUUCCUCACCAAUGAAGUGAGAGGGUUGGGGUCGAAUGAGCACCAAAUUCCCUUCGUAAAGGAUGAGGUGGACACAAAUACACACACAUCUGGGGCCUAGACACACACCUGAGUGUCUGUGCCCAUCCCUGGAGGGGAUGCACUAAUGCAGUCAAAGAAACAGUUACAAAUUUGCAAGCACGAGUUCUCAGAAAUAAUCAAGCACACACACAAAUUCACACAAGCAAUUUCUGCCUCAAAUGCAUACACAUACACUAAAAUUCUUCCAUCUUCUUGAGAUGGGAUGAACCAUGGCAGUUUAUAGGCUCUGAUGCCUAUAUUAGCAAGGUAGUGCGUGUCAUUCAAUUACCUGGGUGCUCCUCAAACCAAAAUCCAAUCAACUAGCUCAGAAGAUGGCUAGGUACAUUGUGCCACUGACCCUUUCAAUGUCUUGAACCUCAACGUCAGGGUUCUAAGCUCACCGGAGCCAAAAGCCCCAAGGUUCCUCCCUCAGAUGGGGUCUCUGAAUCUCCCUGCUCUCGUUGGCCUCCUGUCUCAGCAGCGAUCCCAGGAAGGCUGGCCCCAGGCUGCAGAAGCCCCGAGGAGGCCGGAGUCCCCUGAAUAACCGUGGCCUCUCCCCACUGUUGCCCCUCAGCUGACAACAUUGAAGCUGGCUGAGAAAACAACCCCGUGGAAUUCUGUGAAGUCCCAAUAGAGAGAGGGGAAGAGGAAAGGAGGGGAGGGGAGGGGAGAGGACAGAAGAAAGGAAAAUCUAGUGAAUGGAGUCAUUUCACUGGCUUCCCACAUUGUCCUGGGGGUGUCUGACUCAUGAAAUGCUCAUGAAUGUCUUCAUCUGGCUUUAUUUAAGUACCUUUUAUCCUGAAAACUCUCUGUGCUUUCUUCUCAGGCCUCUUUUCUCAAAUCCCCAGCGUCCCCUUCUCCACUUGUUCAAGGUUUCUCCUUUGGCAAGGCCUGGUCAGGCAGCCCCUGUUCCUGCCAGCCCUCCUCUGGACUCUGACUGCCCCGAUGCCUGCAUACCCUGUGGCUCUCAUCUCAGGAAGAAUUGCAGUGUGUGGAGCCAGAAGCUGGUCUGCGUAAAGUUGGCAGUGGAAGUGACAUUUAAAAAGUUAGUUAAUGCAAAUAUUACGUUACCUUCAAUAUUUUGUGGCAAUUGUGGUGUCUGUUCGUUUUUUCACAAUUUGUAAUUUGUUAGAAUUUUUUAUCAUUCUAUAUUAAUGAUUACCCUUGUAUCAGAAUUUGUAUCUGUAAGUCUGUUCUGUUUUCCUCAAAGGGUCCCCCCUAAAACAGCCCAGGCUUCAGGCUCUACGUGGGAACUUUCCUUAGGUCACACUGUGGUAUAGAGCUGCUCCAGGACCAGGUGCUUGGGUCCUGGCCAGGGUUCCCUCCCCACCUUCGAGGGCUUCAGAGUGUAUGUAAACAAUGAACUUGUCCAUUGCUGCGCACACAGGAGGUGCUUAAAAGUACCAUACUCUCUAGAAGAGAUCUUCCUCCAUAGUGAAAAGGAAACCAAGGCCCCAUUUCACCAGGGCUUCACCUGUGAAUCCACACACUGGAGGGUCUCAGGAUGGAAGGCAAUUUAGCGCUGCCCUAAUCCCCUCACAGUGUCUCUGCAGAUGACACCCUCCUGUUGCUAUGACAGGACACCAGCAUAGAGGACUGAGGCCCUUCAAAAUCCAAGAGUCUCUUGAAGACACCAAUACGUCCUUCCAGCCACUCUGAGCAGGUAGAAGGUGCAGCCCAGAAAUCCCACCAGCUGGAGGUCAAAGUCACAGAGCCAGGGUGCUGUAGUGAUUGGUGGUGUGCAGUUUGGGACAGUGAAGGUGAAUUUAGGGGUCACCUUACCUGACCCAUCUCUCCCCUUGGUCUCUCUCUAUCCAGCCCAGAUAGAUACCAGGUCAGUCUCCAGCUAAAUGCCUUCAGGAACAAGGGGCCCCCUCCCACUCAGAAAUUGAUCUAAUUCUUUAUUUAUGUCCAGGGACAUGCUAUGUUCUUCAUUGGAUCCAGAUCUGCCUCAGCCCUCUGGAGUGCCUGGGCGAGCCCAAGUUCUGCCAGGUGAUAGCUUUGCACACAGUGGAGAACAGCGACCACAGGGCACCCCAAGCCUUCAUUUUGCUGGGCUAAUUUUUGCUUUUUGUUAGCUUCUCCUUUUCUGACCCUUUGCUAUGCGGCUUUCCCCUUUCCUUACACUUAACUUUAACAACAUCUCUUAAAACAAAACGGGCCCAACCCUACAGAGGAGGUCUGAGCAGCUGGAGUACAGGAACUGCCCCCCAUCGGGAUCUGACCUGCUUUUACUGUUGCCCAAGAAUCUCUCAUUUUGGGGGCGAAGCAGUGGCUGACAUGCCAAUGAAGCAGGGCCCCUCUCUCAUGAGCUGCCGCUCAACGGGCCUCUGCAGGCCUGUGAUCGUCAUGUGGGUUAUUCGGGAGGGAAAUGUGAGGACGUGCAUCAUUUGCUGAGCGUUGGGAGAGGAAGUGUUACCCAGAUCAGGUGGCGCCCCCCACACACAUGGGAGGAGAGUGUGGGUGACGUCUGAAGUCCAAGCUCAGCCCCAGUGGAUUAAGAGAACUCAGCAAAGAGGAGCAAGAAGGCCCAAACUCGGGCCACAGUGGCAUUGAAUGCCAAGUAUCUGUAGCAAAGUUGCCCUUAUUUUUAACAAAUCCAUCUGAAAGUGCAACAAGAUCUUAGAAGGAUGGCAUUCACAAGUGUUUCGUGAGAAACUAGUAGGUGAUAGGCCAAAACUAAUUUAUGAUCAAGGAGGUUUGGAAAACCCUGGAAUAACUGAAGGUAAGUAGCUUUCUUUUACCAAAGGAUCCCUCAGAGCCUUUAGCACGCUGGUGGGUGACACGAGUCUCCCAGUGGGGGGUGCAGUGUGAGAUUUUGAGGAUGAUCCAUUUUCCACUUGUCCUAGUCUGAAAGAUCUGUCCUAUUGCUGUUUCUGCCCCCCUUGACCCUCUGAGUUCACUCACUCCUUUAGCAGUUGGUGCUCCCAUCCCUCGUGCAAGGAGCUCACAGAUCCCGGGAAGGUCUGCCAUGGAGCUCUGGUCCGGCCCGCCCUGCAGUAGGGACAGGAAGAUGCUUAGGGGAGAGGCUCAAGAGCCCCGUCCAAAGGUCAGAGCUGGAGGGAAGCCGAGGGCACCUCCUUGGAGCACCUGGAGCCACAGGAGGCAAGGUGGCCAGCUGGCAGCUGAAGGACACAGCAGGUCACACAGCCCAAGAGUGGCCGAGGCUGUGCUUAGGUUCAGGGCUCCUAACCACCUUGCCCAUGCUCUGUCUGGCCAUGCUCCGGAGUUUAUGUGCCAGCUCUGAGCUCAACCUCUUGUCCACCUGCUGUGCCCGCCCUGCUCACCCCUCCAUGCUCAGCAGCCAACGGGGCGUCAGGGAGGUGUUUGUGGAGUGAAGCUGUGACGGCACGGUGGGGUCAGAUGGCUUUUACAGUCUCAUCUAGGGCUGAGGCUUGCUGUGGAGUUUGAGCGAGCUGCUAAAACUCAGAGAAAAACCAAGGCAGGAUGUAAGCUGGGCUUGUGUGAUGGGGAAGGCCCAGAAUCAGCAGAGCAGUGGAGGAAAGGACACAGCUGGCCCGGGGAGGGCCCCUCCCAGGGGGUUUCAGGAAAGCCUGGCUGAGUCGUGUCUCCCGUGGGAGAUACCCUCACGCAAGGCCAUGUGGUGCUUCAGGGCUGUCUUCAAGGACUCACCCGUCAGAUCCUGGAGCUCACCUGAAUCAACCAAUGGUUUGUCUGCAUUGGCCGAAGUUGCUUUUUCUUUAGGCAAAUUUUAACCACAGCUAUGGAUGCCUAACAAUAAGGAUGGUCAUCACUGAGCACUUGCUGUGGCCCACACCGUGCUAACUGUACCUCCAUAAUCUCGGUUAAUCCUCAAAACAACCCUAUAAAACCAGUCUGAUUAUCAUCAGUCCCAUUUUGCAAUUAAUGAAACUGAGGCACAGAGAUAUCAAUUAACAUGCCUAACUCACACAGCUAGUGAGUGUCAGAUACCCAAGCUUCCAGCCCGGUGGACUGAAUUCAGUGUCUUUGUUUUUGCAUGGCUAUUGGUGGUAGUGGUAGUGUGUCCACUGUCACCUUUCCAAAGACUGAACAUGGAAAAGUUCAAAUGUAAACAAAAGUUGGGAGAACUGCCCAGAGAAGAACCUCUACACCCCCAUUUCCCAGCGGCGAUGGCUGUUGACUCGAGGUCAGUCUGUAGCCUCCCACCUCCCCCUCCCAUCACCGUGGAUUUUUAAAAAAAUAAAUACCAUAUAUUAUAUAAUUCCAUCCAUAGAUCUUUUAGUGUGCAUCUCUAAAAUAUAAGGAUGAAUCCUCACUCUCAACAACAAUUUAUACCCUCCUGACUGAGAAGUACCCUGGACAGGUUACCCGCGUGGUCCUGCAAAAGAUGGAAAAAAGGCUAGCCACUGGCCCAAACAGCUGAGCCUGGGAACACAGAGGCAACUGGCUCACGGGGCCGCCUGUCCCCAGGCGUCACCUCACAGCCUAGCCAAAUGACCUCUCUGAGCCUUCUUGGAAUAGCUUCAUGUGACUCGAAGCCCCUGCCAUCAGUCUGGAUUCUCUAGAGAUGGGGGACAACUGGUGGGGGUGGUCUUCUGUGUGGUGGGGUUGUUGCCAUGAGGACGCGCCUUCUGAGGCCAGUCUGUCCUGGAUUCCCUGCCUGGCCACGCCCCGAAUCGCAGUUCCUGCUUCAGGAAGAUUUAGUAUCUCAUUUGCAUUCUCGUCCAGUCUGAGAGCAAGAAGUACAGAGGAGAUGGAGACAAAGCACUGGAAUCAGAGAUUCACUGUGCCUCUCUUAAUAUAGGACGAUUGUAUCGCCUUUCUCAUCUGCAGAAGUGGGAACAUACACCUAUGUCCCAACCAGCUUGUGAAUGUCCGAGGAGAUGGGCAAGUUUUAUUAAAUUGUUGGGCUAGAAGAGGGCGCAGUACCGCAAUGGCCAGCAGGUGUCGCCCAAAGACUGAGUAUCAGAAACCUCUAGGCCAGGAGGGGGCUACUCCUUGGAGAUUAUCUUCUAAUAUUAAAUCCAGGUGGACUUGGAAGAAACAGAAAAAAAAAAAAAAAAAACCACAGCCUAUAGUGUUUCUCCUUAGAAAAGUUGGGCCGUGUCAGCCUAAACACGGAGGUAAAAGUGGAGUUGUACAGCCUUCCGAGCAUGCAUACCUGAAGACACCCGGGCAAGAUGGCCAGUCUGGCUUCAUCUAUGGCUUCUCACCUCCCCCCUCAUCACCAUGGAUUUUUUUUUUAAAGAAAAUACCAUGUAUUAUAUAAUUCCAUCCAUAAUCUAAAAGAUAAGGCUGAACCCUCAUUCUCAACCACAAUACUUUAUGCCCCUCUAAGAAGUACCCUGGGUCAGGGGGACCCCGUCCUACCCCCACACACCCCGUUUUACAAAUGAGGACAUUGAGGCUUUGGAAAGCAAGUGACUUGCUAAAUACGCAGUCACUGCAGGACGGAGCUGGGACUCCAGUCAACUCUGAUUCCAUAUUCUGGACUGGUGCUGAGACGCACCCCUCCAGGCCAGACCUUGGGGAGGAACUCAAGACUGCAGCUGUCCUUGCUCUUCGGGGAAAGAAGAAAAGGCACAGGUGCACAGAAGGCCUGGCCUGUGACAUGCUGUCUUCUGCAAACAACACUCUCUGGGUCUCAGAUUCUGCUGUUCAUUGAUGAGGUUGAACGAGAUCAACGGCUCUCGAACCCAACUGCACACACACAAGCACACACACAGGAGCUCAGAGCAGAGGGGAGCCAGCCUUCCCAGGCUGCAGAGUUAGGGGCCCAUAUUUUACAUUUCCCAGGUAUUUGGAUGCGAGCAGCUUCACAUAGUCUUGGGCCCUGGGACCCCCGUGCAUUUGCACUAGAGGCUCCUCUAUGGAUUUUGAGUCUGUAGUUUCACAAACAAUUUCACCUCAUCUUGUGGGAACACCCAACACAGCUGGCACAUAUUCUAUAUGCAAAUGUUCGAUUAAAAUUUGUAGAAUGAAUGACUGAAAAACAUGCCAACCCAGGGAAAACUAGCCUUCACCUCUCAAUGAAAUCACUCUACCUUUAAGUAGCACUUUCUGGUUUGCACAUCUCAUUUACACACUCGAUCUCAGUCAAGUUCCCAAUGAUGGCUGUUAUCAUCCCCAUCUUACAGAUGAGCAAACUGAACCUCAGAGACCCAGUGCUGCCCAGCUGGAUGGAGAGCAGCACCUCACACCCUGUCUGCGACCCCCAUACACUGUUCCUGCUUCAUGUUGGUUUCAUCGAGAGAUCUAAAAAGAGGAAAAUGUGGGAUCUAGAAGAAAACAAGUCUUCCAGAACUAUCUGGCAGUGCCUUGGAUUUGGGAGAGGUGAUUUUUAUGAGUUUGUCCAAAGAUUAGGAUCAGGGGGAGUCUGCCUUGUUUGGUGAAGGGCUCCAUACAGAGAUCCAGGGUGGGGUGGACAGGUCCCCCACAGGUAGCCCAGAACCCCCGUCACACCUAUCCUCCCCAGAAGAGCAGUUUGGGAGGGGCUGGAGCGAGCCUCCCCCAGCUCUCCCUGGUCCCUCGGGGUGGCUCUGCUCUCCGUAGAGUGCCUGGCCACCUUGGACCUGCCGGUGCGUCUCUGCAGCCCUGUGCUACAGCCCUGUGCUGGGAAUCUGGUUGAAGCCUCCCCUAGUGCCCCAGGGUGGGUGGCGGAGCUGCAGGUGGCUGCACAGCACCAUGCGGGGGGCCACGUGGGGAUCUCAGCCACGCAGCCCCGCCCUCCACCCCAAGUUGGGUCUCAGCGGCAAGGCUGGAAUCUGGGCUCACUUCCUGCCCCAGUCUGUGUCUAGUAGGCCUCGGCUGGAAGGGACACACAGUAUCCUCCAGUCUGGGUCCCUUGUUCUCCACUGAGGGGGCCCAGACCCAAGGAGGGGCCCAGGAGGGGACGGUGGGCCGGACCAUGACCCACCCUCUGAGUCUAUGUGGUGGCUUAAAUGGGGCUGAGGAGUGUGGGGGGCUGGGACCUGUGGUUGCACCAGUCUCUCCCCAGCGACUGGACAGAUGAAGGUGGACUUAGGGGCCUUACCUCUUUGCCCUCCCUGAACACUAUGUCCUGAGAAGAAAGUGCUGGACAGAAUUUCCCCAAACAUAAAAACAUUGAGAAGAAGGGGCUUCGGUGCUUGGCAGGGUCCAGGAAAGCUAGUGUCACUGAGAAUCAGCACCGUGGAGUCCCAGAGACAACGCUCCUAACUGUACUGCCCACCGGGGGCUGGCAUCCAGCAAGGAACCUCCACAAGUUAGAGAUUAUUUCUCCAUUGGGGAAACUGAGGCAAGGGGCCUUUGCCCAUCAUUGUAUAGUGGACUGGGGUCCAGGUCUGCUGAUUCCCAAGGCUGUGGUCACAUCGGUGUUGCCAAAAAGAUGAAAUGGUGGCUGUCACCAGGACAGAUCUCAAGGAUCCUCCACCUCAGGUAAGCACACACACCCACUGCCAACUCUACCCAACAGUUCUCCUGGGUCCCAGUACAGUGGCUAACCACCCAUCAUUCAUUCAUUCCUGCAGCCUGUCAAUAGCAGGUUCAUACAACAUGCUUUUAUUGAGCAUAGGCUAUGUGCCCCCUGGGGAUUGAUGGGUGAACCAUCAGAUGCAAUCCCAGCCUUCAUGUAGCUUGUAGGCAGUGGGGCUCAGGAACAAAGGGAUGGUCAGAGCAGGGAGAUGGGGGAUCCCUGGUAGGUCCCCAGGAUGCUGGGGAGGGGUUUCAGGAAGGGUCCUAGAGCAGUCAGCCUCAGCCUGGCCCUCCCACUCCUGCCCCUGGGAGGCUGUCUAGGGGCUCAGGCCUCUCCUGAUUGACUUUAUGAACCUGUGGAGACCAUUUGGUCUGCAGACACAAGACCUGAAAUACUAUUUGCUGUAGAGAGAGGACACUGAGUUCCAUCGGGCGGCGCUGGGCUCACAUUCAGUUACUGAUUGAUCCGCGUUGCAGGGAACCAGGACCAGAGAAGGCAACGUGCCCCUGGCCGCCUGCUAAGCCGGCCUGGGCACCUCCAAUUUGCCAGGUGUGUCCUGUCGGCCUUCUUCCCUGGCCAAGCCUCUCUGCUCUUGCGACAGGAAGAAGCAAGUGUACACUUGUGGGUAUGUGUGGUAUGUUCCUUUUCUCUAAGAAAAAGCCACCCUGGGGCAAGGGGAUUAGCUACAACUCCACCACUGCUUCCCCUCAGAAGUCACAGCCUCUUGACUUUCAAGAUGAAGCUUAGAAAUUUGUCUUGUGUUUGUUUUUUCUGAAACCAAGCCCAGAGACAGACAAGGACCUGCCCAAGGUCACACAGCAGGCCCAGGACAAAGCUUCUAGUGACACUAGUUUCACCUUCCACAGUGUGGACUGUGUGGGAGCCACAGCACUAACUGCUGCCCCAGCUUGGAACUUCUCCUCCUCUACCUCCCUCCUGCUGCACGCACCUGGGGGAUUCCUUUGGGUGACACUACAGGAGCUCUUUGAGGAAGAACAGUGAGAAUUUCUUUAAAAAGAGAACCAAGUUUAGGGAUCUAGAGACAAAUAGCCUCCACAAGAGACAGAAAGCCUCCUGGGGCAGAGGAGACUAUGGGAUGUCACUCACAGCAGAGCAGACAGCCCAGCAAGUUCUGGAAACUGCAAACCAGGGUUUGAGGAGCAGCAACUUCGGAAGGUGACUCACCCCAGUGCCUUCCAGGCACGAGACCCGCCCCGAGCCACCUCCCCUUGCCUCCUUGGGCUUCUGGUGGCAGGUGGAAGCCCUGGAUGCUAAGGUUCAAAGUUCUAAACUCUUUCAAGCCCUCAAAGUCUACCGCAAACACACAAUGGGGCUGGUCUGGGAGGCUCCUUGGGCAGCCAGAGCCUGGGAGGGGACACCAACACUGAGCCACGGGCUUCUUCCUGGGCUGGGACACUUGGCUGCUCCUGUUUCUCCCAGCUCAGCUACUGUCCCCCUAAUGCCCCUGACUGGGGCUGCCCUGGCCCGAUCUCUGAAGCCCAGGUCUGACAUCUUCCCAGCUGCCAUGGAAGCGUCGCGUGGACACCGUAAUUGUCUCUGAUCUCCCCUGGCCUGGCCAGGUGGCUGAAGAAUGGGUCCCCAGGGAGGAGCAGGUUACCCUCCCCAAGAGGCCACAGCGGUACUGCAGUUCAGAGCUCAGCCGUCUGGGGCAGAGGAUGGACAGGGAGGAGACACAUCUCCUGGUAGCAGCCCCAUUCCCCAGGAGCGAAGAGGAGAAAGGAGGAGUGUGGACCUCAGGAAGAUUCAACCCUCACUAAGUGGGUACCACCCCCCAACUGCCCAGGGUGCCCUCUCUUUUAACUAAAGUAGCCAGCGAGCUACUCAAGGCCAGUUCUUUGGGGCACCCUUCCUCGACCUGGGAGAGUUCAAGAUUGCUGGGCAGGGGAAGGGUCUCCUUCAAGGUCCCAAGCCAUUUAGAAAAGUUGGAGGCUCGUGCCGGUAGCACCUCACUCUGGACAGAAUACCAGCCCCAGCCCCAGCCUCUGCCUGGCUGCUCUGAUGAGCAAACCCAGUCCAGGAAGGAGAGGCUCUGCCCAGGCCUCCCAGCCAAGGAUGUCAUCCCAGUGCGGGCUUUUUGUUCUCACUGCGAGUCCCCCCGUCUAUGGGAUGGACAGAGGCUGGGUGAGAGUGGGCUGUGGAUUAUUUUUAAAUCACUUCAAUGUUUUAUGAAUUUAAAAAGCAAAGGCAUCCUUCUGAGUGAAUAGAUGGAAGGCCAAUAACACUUCUGGAAAUUUCAGCUACUAUGAAUUGGAUCAAAAAAUGUUCAUUCAUUCAUAGUUUGUGGUUUGAGCAUGGGACAGGGCUAAUCCUUUGCCCACCCAGAACUUUGUGUCCAGUUUUUGCUGAGAGUGUUGUAAGGAAGUCAGGCCAGGCAAAGGCCCUGUGGUCCCACUGCCCAACGCCAGCAUUUUUUGGCCUUUGUUGUCCUGAGAAGCACUCUCUUGGGGGAGCUGGGAUGACACAGAUGGGGCAAGGCUGAGCUUUGUGCCCCUCAACAGAAAGCUCCCCUCCCCCACCCAGCCUGCCCACUUUGGCUUUCACCUUGAUUGGCCUUGACUUUCAACUCCACAUUGAAGUUACCUGGGAAAGUUUGAAAACCAUGCUGCCCCGAGGAUCCCAUCAGAAUCCACAGCUGGGGCUGCACCCGGCAACCCACCUCCUCUUCCCCCACCUCACAAGGGUCCCUUCUUGGUGUGUCCCUACCAGGGUCCUGAUCAAGAUGUUGACUCAAACUAUGGGGUUCGAAGUUUCAUGGCUGUCCCAGGCUUCGGGAAAGUGUAGAUCAUAUAUGGCUUCUGUUCUGGAAGGAGUGGGGCUCAAGAUCCGGCAGCCAAGAAUUACUAUACAGCAGGGCAAGUACUGUCCCUGAGACAGGAGGCAGGCAUGGGGUAUACAGACAAAAUGAAAAGAGCUCAGGGCUUUUCCAGGAAAUCGGGGUGCAUGGCAGACUAUUCGGGUGCCCCCUCCUCCCUGGCAAAGACCCUUGGAAAGACUGUUUUGCAAAAAAGCCAUUGGAGGGGAUUCCGAGUAGGGCACUGGUUCCCUCUGGUGGUGAUAGUGGGAAUUGCACCCCAGACAGGGGCUGUGUCCCAGCUGUUUGAUGGACAGUAAUUCAUUCUUGCUUCCUG
rnacentral:lncRNA from 1 species